CUCGUAGUUGAAUACUGACAUAGUCGACCGGUCUCACGCAUUGUCGUGAGCACUUGUGUUGUAUUAGGUCAUUCUUGGAUUUUAGCCAGUCUGGCAUUAAGUUGUCGGGUUGGUGAAAACCAUCGUUUACUGUGAAAAAAUUAGAGUGUUCAAAGCAGACUUAUGUCGUUGAAUAGAUUAGCAUGGAAUAAUAAUAUAGGACUUUUGUACUAUUUUGUUGGUUAGGUGUAAAAGUAAUGAUCAAUAGGGACAGUUGGGCGUAUUCGUAUUUCGUUGCUAGAGGUGAAAUUCUUGGAUUUCCGAAAGACGAACUACUGCGAAAGCAUUUACGAAGGAUGUUUUCAUUAAUCAAGAACGAAAGUUAGGGGAUCGAAGAUGAUUAGAUACCAUCGUAGUCUUAACCAUAAACUAUGCCGACUCGGGAUUGGGCG
rnacentral:rRNA from 1 species